CCUCCCUGCCCCAAGUAGUUCCAUUGGAUAUCUCAGAAUCAAACGUGGAUCAUCAUGAAAUUGGGGUUCAGUCAUCUGCAAAGGGGGAAAGCCAAAGCUCUUGAUCCAGUCUCAGGCUUGCCCAGGGAGAAUGAUUUUCAGUCUAUAGAAGAUGGUACAAAAAUGAUUAACAAGGAAUUGAAACAACCUAAAACAACUGAAGAAUCUUUAAGAGCAUUCAGAUAGAUAUGGACUAAUGUUGACCAACUACCAUCCACUCCCACCUGCCCCAGAGGGCUUUUUCUCUUUUGGGAAUACUAAGAAAAAACAGAUUUCCUGCAUCUCAGUCCCUAAACUCAGAUCCACAGCUUUAAUAUUCUACAAUCAAUAAACAAGGUGCCUGCUAUCACAAAACUUAGAAAUCUAGGUGUGGAUUGAAAAAAUGUUUACUUAUGACAAGAUAACUAGAAUAAAAAGCAGUUAAUGCUGUGAAAAUGGAAACCUUGAUUUGCUUGAGGUAAGUAGAAUUGUAUGAAGACUGGCUGUAUUGACUUGACAUACCAACAAUCCUUUGUGGUGACUGAAAGUAAACCUACCUGGACAUGCAGAAAAUCAGCAACUCUGAAGCCAAGUAAACUCAUAUCAGCUUUGAAGCAGACCCUGAGCCAUUCAGUGGUUUAUGAACUUUCAAGAGACAUCCCUAUCUUCAAAGACUUUAUGGGUUUUGGAGACAACCUUAUCUCCAGAGACUCCUCUAACUUUGGUUAGGGUGCUCUCCUAAUUAUCCUGCUUUUGGAGACAAUCUCAUUAUCAAGUCUUGAACUAUGGACUGUUAAUCUGAUUUAUGUAUCAAAGGCCACGGCCUUGACACCUGGAAUUCCUUAUUCCUCCUCUCCUCUGGGGAUGAGGCUCAUUGACUCAUUCCUUUCUAAGACCACCUUCCCCCCCCCCCAAAUUCCUUACCUUCCUUUGUUCAAAAGAUAUAUAAACUCUCCCUAUCCACUACUUGGUGGGCUGUCAGCAUAGGCUGUCAGUCCUCAAGUGCAUGUUUUA